CAGUUUUGAACUCUGCUGCCCAGGGCUCACAGCAUGUGGGUAGGCUGGUGCUACAGGGUUUCCCUAGCGAUUCCAAACACAGGGGCUAGGGGCCUUGUUGUGGCCUGCCAGACCAGAAGCCUGCCGCCCACUGAAACAUCCCCAGCCUGUUUUGGAAAUUCUUCUCUUCCUACGAGCUCACCUUUGUGAGCACACCUGUGCUAGCCCUGUGCACAGGCACGCCACCAGACGGAGCUGCGGCUAAGAAAACUUCAGGCAAGCCUCAUGCUGCAGCCUGGGUCAAGAGAGGAAUUCUGGACUUCCUCAGCCUGAGGGAAUAAGGGGCAGCGCAAGCCCAGCUGCAGAAUUGCCAUAGGAAUAAAGAUGUUUGUUCUGGCAUUACAAAGAAGAAACUAAAGGUGGGGUACGCCAGGGAUGAGGAGCAAUGCCAGGAAAGGGGGAAGGAACUAUAGCAGUCCUAUCAAAAGGCAAUGGAGGUUUCCUGAUCCACCUUCUGAUAUUAUUAUGGUGCUGGUUGCCAUACUGCAUAGGGAUCCCCCACAACCACCCUAUGAGCGACAGUGGACUGAUAUCCAGAGGCAGGAACCUCCAGUAGCUCACAGCAAUGAAGAACUCAUUGAGGAAGGGGAAUACAAAGGAUGCUGACCCCAUGGAAAGCCAGGCGCUCUUCAACAGCCAGCCAAACCCAACCCAGACAAGGCCCAAAGUGGAACCCACUGAUGAAGGGGAAAGGAGCUCAGCCUGUGGUUGACUCAGCAGAGGGCCAAGUCACUGAAAACCUGCUCGAGAAGUUUAACCAUCAACAGGGGUCACCGCAAGCAGAGCAAAGUUGAGAGAGUGCAGAUGCAGACACACCUGCUGGCCGGGGUGCUCAUGUGAGGAUCUCACACUGACUCAACUGUAAGACCUAGGGCGAGUCUUUUCAUCUCUCUGUACCUCAGUUUUCUCACCUAUAUCAUACGUUGUUGGAGAAGGAGAUUUGGCCGAUGUGAGCACACAAACAACCUUAAGAGACAACAAACCAACUUCCAAAGUAUACUUUUAUUGCUAGUUUUUUGCUGGUAUACAAGAUGAAGGGUAAACUGCUAGGUUGCACGAAUUUUUCUCUCAAGCUGAUGUAACUGUUAAAUCUGAGCAAUCACAUCUUGUGGAUAUACUGAUACAUCCUGUGGCCAUAAUAUGUGUUUGACUAUUUUUCCUAUAUUUACUUGUGAUAUAAAUACUGUAAGAUAUACAGAUACAAAAGGUAAUGAGCAUGAGAGAAAUGAUCAGAGAGAGAGAACUAGAUAGAAAUUAAAUUCAGGCAUAAUCUCUGAAAAUGUAAGGGGACUUUUAAUAUGGUUGACUUUCAGUAAACCUUGUGUAAAGGUUUCUGGCUAGAGUUGAUGGCUUCAUUAUGUAUCUCCUGGGGCAUUUGUACCUCAAAUGCUAUUUAUAGCUUUAUGAAGCAGUGUGAACAAAAUUCAUUUGUCUCUAAAGCUUUGCAUUUAGAGUACACCAACUAUUGAGAUGGGGUGAUGAGCGUGAUUAACAGGGCUUACAUGUCCAUCUUAUCUCUACAGUACACAAUAUUAAAAGCCUUGACCGAGAUUUAGACCUUCUGUCAGUCUCUACUCUCUGUAAACUUUGUCACCCCUAACCCUGAAUUUGUACUUUCCUUCGUGUAGGCCAAAACUGCCUAUUAAUACCUCUAUAAUAUUAUCCACUGCCUCAGCUCGACUUCUUUGAAAUCUUCAUCCACAUCUUCCACUCCUUCAACUCUCAGCAUUUUUGACUCUAGUACAUUGUAGAACACUACUUCCCAGCUACUGCAAAAGAAACAUGACCACAACACUCUCAACCUGCUUAAACAUCUCCAUUAACUCUAUUCAUUUGAGAAAAUAAUUCAAAAUUGCCUGCCUGGCUUUUAAAAUCCUACAUGUAUUUUGUUCUUCAGUUACCUCUGUUCACCUAAUAUUAGCUGCCUCCAUGCACUUUCAUAAUCUCACCAUUUCUGGUGCAAGAGUUUUCUCUUCUGCAUUUCAGGAAAGGCCUUUCUGUAUAUCUCGGUCUCAUUGAGUCUCUAUUUCAAAAAAUCUCAGACAGAAGAAUGUCCUCCCUUCCCUAUACUUGUUAAUUUUUCUCUUUUUGUUGCUGGAAUUGAUUUAACUCUGCAAUUGCAUUAUUUCAUUUUUAACGCACCAGGCAACAGUGUGUUCAAAAGAUGUUACAGAAUACAAAGUUGUAAUGUACUGAAACAGGAAAUAAUUUCAGAAUAGGAUGAUUCACCCUCUCUACAACCCCCAACUAAAAAUAAAAAAAGAUGAUUCACUGUAGAAAGUCUAAAUGAGGUUUCUCAAAUUCAUAUGCUCACUGGAUUAUCAUCUGAGAGGCAAUUCUGUGGUUCGCAUUCUGGCAAUGUGGUAUCAUUUUACUUGAAAAUGUCCUAGCAGAUGUAUUGAUUCAUCCUGGGAGGUGUUCUUUUAUUUAAUUGUUGGUUACUGAAUACUAUUUAUAUAAUUUAGAGUCCUUUUUGUUAAUUACACUUUCCCAGAGAUAAUUCAGAAUAUAUCUUAACAUUAAGAACACACCCUACAGUUAAAAAUGUAGUAAGACAUUUUAACUGGCUAAUCCAAAAUACAUAGUAUAUGUGCAGUUAUAUUUUUCUCUAUAUAUUUUCCACUGCUUAAACUUUAUCUGAUGGAAUGAAUUUUAAAAUAAAUGCUAAGAGAAACACAUCUAAAACUGA